rnacentral:lncRNA from 1 species
UUUAUUGUUUAUAUAUAAUAUAUAAUAAUAGGUUUGUCAAUACAUGUUUUGCUGAUACAAUAAUAUAUUUAUAUUACACGCAUAUUAAGCAUAUAUAAAUGAAAAUUAUAGGCUAAGCUUAAUAGUUAAGCUUUGCCUAUAAUAAAAUGAAUAGACCACAUCAAAAAUUAAAUAGAUAUGUAAAAAGCUUUAUAUAUAUAUAGUUUUAUAUGUACAAAAUUCGUAACACAUAUAUACAUAGAGUUUGUUCUCCCAAUGUCUACAAACGAUACAAAUGAUCAUCGUUGUUUGGUAUAAGAGUUUCGUUGCCGUUGAAGUGAAACUCGCCGUUUGGAUUGAUCACUUGGUCGCGGAGAAAUCCUACUAUCGUCUCUUGGAUAGCUUUGAUUCGGUCUUGUUGUAGGACCUUUUCCCUCAGCCAUUCCGUCUUUAAUUUGAAAUAAAUAAAAAAGGUAUUAGUUAUCUAAGUUAUUCAAUAUAAUUCAGGAGAUAAUGAAAAGAGACAUGUAACGUACUCUGAGCGUCUCUGUGGGUGUUUGAUUGACUUGUGCCAUCAUGAAUUUGCACACGUAAUAUGCACAUAGAUUGUUCCCUCCUUCUUGUCUUAAACACCACUGUACGAUGUAUAUAUAUAUAAAAAUAUUCAUAACCACGACAAUAAGAAGGCUAAAAGUUAGCGAAAGUUUGUUAGCUAGUAGAACUUACUUGUGGAUGUAUUAUGUUAAGCGGCGCUUUACAUCCACUGAGAUGUUCACGGUCAAUGAAUCUUUCCCAAACCCUAUACACAGCCAUUGUGGAUCGUGAAUUAAUAAUUACAGAGUCAUAUUAUGAUAUUUUUGUAGCUUAGAUCGAUAUUACGUACCUUUGAAUAAUGUUUACCAUUUGUUGAUAAUUUUCUUGUGGUUUUCUCAUUGAGUCAAAGAUUAUCAAUCGGUUCUUGGGAAUUUCAAUGACCAUGAGUAUCCAGUGAAAGCUGUUUACACACACAUAUAUAGGGUCAGUCCUAUAAUGUAAAAUAAAAUAUGUAUGCACUUAAUAACUAUAUAACUCACUCGAAGUUGAAGGGGAAGAGUAUUUUUUGUUUUUCUUUUUGGUUUACAAAGAACCUCAUAAGAUUGGUGCAGAUUUCUGUCUCAUAAUCUGCUGUCCACACUGCCUGCGGAGCCUUGAAAACAAUAUAAGGGUCAACGAACCCAAUACUAUUGUCAUUUCUCAUUCUGAGCUCUCUCAUUUGG